UACGUAGGUUGCGAGCGUUGUCCGGAAUUAUUGGGCGUAAAGAGCUUGUAGGCGGUUUGUCGCGUCUGCUGUGAAAAUCCGGGGCUCAACCCCGGACUUGCAGUGGGUACGGGCAGACUAGAGUGUGGUAGGGGAGACUGGAAUUCCUGGUGUAGCGGUGAAAUGCGCAGAUAUCAGGAGGAACACCGAUGGCGAAGGCAGGUCUCUGGGCCACUACUGACGCUGAGAAGCGAAAGCAUGGGGAGCGAACAGG
rnacentral:rRNA from 1 species